UGAUCAGUGAUAUUUAUCUGCUCUACAGCGGCUGUUAUGUGUAUCAAGUGGUGUAAUGUAGUUUGACACUGUGGCACAACGCUCACAUCUCCGCUUCUGGAGUGGGGCUCAGGAACCCUGCUUUCGUGCUGUUGAAUACAUUUUCUCAAUUACCAACGUUAAAUGAGGAGCGGCACUGGUCUCCACGGUCGUCUGUCUCAGCCUGUGCUGCUGAUUCAAGCAGCUUGUGCUCCACCACAGACUGUGUUUCCCAUGGUGUGUCUGAAUCUCUGCUGUUCUUCCUGUGGUGGACAUGCAGCUGCUGUGGAGUUGUUCUCAAACUGAUGGUGAAUUAGGAGAUUUUUCUCUCGGAGCUCCAGAUACUUACACGUUACUA
ensembl:lncRNA